GAUUUUUGCAUCAAUGUUCAUCAUGGAUAUUGACCUGAAAUUUUGUUUUUUCAUUGUGUCUCUGCUGGGUUUUGGUACUAGGAUGAUGUCGGUCUCAUGAAAUGAUGGGAAGAUUCCCUCCUUUUGUAUUGUUUGAUAGUUUCAGAAGGAAUGGAACCAGCUCCUCUUGUUACGUCUGGUAGAAUGUGGCUGUGAAUCCGUCUGGACCUGGACUUUUUUUGGUUGGAAGGCUAUUAAUUGAUGACUCUACUUCAUCCCUUGUUAUUGGUCUAUUCAGGGUUUCAACUUCCUCCUGGUUUAGUCUUGGGAGUGUACAAGU